rnacentral:rRNA from 1 species
GACGAACGCUGGCGGCGUGCUUAACACAUGCAAGUCGAGCGGAAAGGCCACUUCGGUGGUACUCGAGCGGCGAACGGGUGAGUAACACGUGAGUAAUCUGCCCCUGGCUUUGGGAUAGCCACCGGAAACGGUGAUUAAUACCGGAUAUGACACAUUCUCGCAUGAGUUUGUGUGGAAAGUUUUUCGGCCAGGGAUGUGCUCGCGGCCUAUCAGCUUGAUGGUGAGGUAAUGGCUCACCAUGGCUUCGACGGGUAGCCGGCCUGAGAGGGUGACCGGUCACACUGGGACUGAGGCACGGCCCAGACUCCUACGGGAGGCAGCAGUGGGGAAUAUUGGACAAUGGGCGGAAGCCUGAUCCAGCAACGCCGCGUGAGGGAUGACGGCCUUCGGGUUGUAAACCUCUUUCAGUACCGACGAAGCGCAAGUGACGGUAGGUACAGAAGAAGCACCGGCCAACUACGUG